rnacentral:lncRNA from 1 species
UUCCAAUACUGAAUUAUCUGACAAUGGAGAAGGCCCUCUAUUUACGUUGUAACAGGAUCUUCUGUAUGUGCUUCUUCAUAACACCCGGUCCUCCCAAUGUGACUGGGAGGUGCCAGAGGGCAGGAAUGAGCCAUCCUCCCAACCAGGGCAUCUCACACGUGCCAGGUGGUCUCUGAGUGUGUGUGGAGCCAAAUUGAACUAAACGACUGUCUUGGCAACAUACAACUUUCCAAGAC